rnacentral:tRNA from 1 species
CGCGGCGCGGGCGCUGGCGCCGGCGCGCCUGCUGGUGUCGGGCAGCGCGGGACUUCCCGUGCCGGUGUUCGACGGGCUCUCCGCGC